rnacentral:rRNA from 1 species
AUUGAACGCUGGCGGCAGGCCUAACACAUGCAAGUCGAACGCUCCGCAAGGAGAGUGGCAGACGGGUGAGUAACGCGUGGGAAUCUACCUAGUUCUACGGAACAACACAGGGAAACUUGUGCUAAUACCGUAUACGCCCUACGGGGAAAGAUUUAUCGCCAUUAGAGCGGCCCGCGUUAGAUUAGCUAGUUGGUGAGGUA